CUGCAUAAUGCAUACCAGUUUUAAUAUUUGACUGCCCUGUGGACUCAUUCUGUUUAUUAGAUGGUUCAAAGUCUGGUUAUGGGCGAAGAGCUUAAUUGCAUGAAGGACAGUGGGAUGACAUCCAUGUUAUUGAGGUGCGACCUUAGGACGAAGGAACUGCAACGUACUGUUUAAUCAACACUGUCAUGCUAUCUUUGACUACAAAUAGUGACUCCUGCGUGCGGGACAUUUAGAUUAUCUAGAUCUAUUAGAAGACAAAUGAGUAUGCAACUGUCAGUGGCUAAAGGUCAUCCUUGUGACAUGGGAAAAAUUAUUGAAGAAUUGGAAGGCAAGCUACGAAACUCACUAGGUCAGGUACUAUGCAUGACUGAAAAUUUUAUGCUUUUGAUAGUUUAUUGGACAUGCCAGUUCGAUGCACAC